CCCCCCGGCUUUUCCAAACAACCAGGGUCUGGGCUUGCCCCCGUAGGCCCAGUGCACACAGGUUGGCCUUGAACCCUGAUUUUCCACCUGAUUUCCAACAUCGCAGAGCAUCGCGCUAUCACUGCAUUGCUGGAGCGGGACUGUUUUUCUUCCUCUUUCUCUUUCUCUUUUUCUCUUUCUCUUUUAAACCAGUUCUGUUCCUGUAACUCGUAUGAACAAUCAUUUCCAAAUAUGGCGAAGUAUAUUUUGGGUGGCAUAUUUUGGUUCUCCACAGUUUUCCCUUUGAAACUUUAUUUUUAGGAAGUUUCACAUACUAAAGUAGGAUUGAUAGCUGAGAGAUUGACAGGGGGAGAGAAACACGUUUGGGGAAAAGAACAAAUUGGGAAUAUUCCAUCCCACGUCGCUCUCAGCCUGGAAACAAGGCCAGCUCAGGUGCUGCAGGCAGGCUGUGAGUGAGGUCUCCGCAUGGCACAAGGGUGCAGUGCAUGCCCCUGGAGCAAACCACCAAAAAUAAAUAAUUACAUAAAAAGCCUGUAAGUGUGAUACACAAAGUCUGCUCCUGGACUACAGCUUGGGGCUUGGACAUCCCCUGGGAGCUUAAUGGAAAUGCAGACUGUCAAGCUCCACCCCAGACCGGCUGCAGCAGAACGUGCCUUCUAAGGAGAGCCGGGCGGUCCGUGUGCGGGGCACCAGAUUUUCGCCAUAUGGUGCAUGUGCUUGCCAGAGACAAUGAGAGGAAAAGUGAGAAAC